rnacentral:rRNA from 1 species
GCNGGNUACGAUUCGCCCUUGAGUUUGAUCAUGGCUCAGGACGAACGCUGGCGGCGUGCCUAACACAUGCAAGUCGAACGGCCCGCCCCGUUUGGAUUCCUUCGGGGAGAAGAUGGGUUCCCGGGCAGUGGCGGACGGGUGAGUAACGCGUGGAGAACCUGUCUCUCAGUUGGGGAUAACCUGGCGAAAGUCGGGCUAAUCCCGAAUACGCUCCUGAGGUGGCAUCACUUUGGGAGGAAAGGUGCUUUCGGGCAUCGCUGAGAGGUGGCUCCGCGUCGGAUUAGCUAGCUGGUGGGGUAACGGCUCACCAGGGCGACGAUCCGUAGCUGGUCUGAGAGGAUGAUCAGCCACACUGGGACUGAGACACGGCCCAGACUCCUACGGGAGGCAGCAGUGGGGAAUCUUCCGCAAUGGGCGAAAGCCUGACGGAGCAACGCCGCGUGAACGAAGAAGGCCUUCGGGUCGUAAAGUUCUGUCCUCAGGGAAGAACCCUCAUGGGAGGAAAUGCCCAUGAGCUGACGGUACCUGGGAAGGAAGCCCUGGCUAACUACGUGCCAGCAGCCGCGGUAAUACGUAGAGGGCAAGCGUUGUCCGGAAUUACUGGGCGUAAAGGGUACGCAGGCGGAUAUAUAAGUCAAAUGUGAAAGGCACCGGCUCAACCGGUGAGCGGCAUUUGAAACUGUAUAUCUUGAGUUCAGGAGAGGAGAGCGGAAUUCCUGGUGUAGCGGUGGAAUGCGUAGAUAUCAGGAAGAACACCAGUGGCGAAGGCGGCUCUCUGGCCUGAAACUGACGCUCAGGUACGAAAGCUGGGGGGAGCGAACGGGAUNAAAUACCCCGGUAGUCCCNANCC